rnacentral:tRNA from 1 species
CUUAAUGCGGUUGGCUUGAAACCAGCGUAUGAGGGUUCGAUUCCUUCCUUUCUUG